GUCGUUUAGUCGUGUCCGACUCUUCGUGACCCCAUGGACCAGAGCACGCCAGGCACUUCUGUCUUCCACUGCCUCCCGCAGUUUGGUCAAACUCAUGCUGGUAGCUUCAAGAACACUGUCCAACCAUCUCAUCCUCUGUCGUCCCCUUCUCCUUGUGCCCUCCAUCUUUCCCAACAUCAGGGUCUUUUCCAGGGAGUCUUCUCUUCUCAAGAGGUGGCCAAAGUAUUGGAGCCUCAGCUUCAGGAUCUGUCCUUCCAGUGAGCACUCAGGGCUGAUUUCCUUAAGAAUGGAUAGGUUUGAUCUUCUUGCAGUCCAUGGGACUCUCAAGAGUCUCCUCCAGCACCAUAACUAACCAGCACCAGCAACCUUACUAACUUAGCGUAAAUAAAGGAACAGAAGGAACAUUUGUAGGUGUCAGGCAUCAAAGGAUCCAAACCCCACGGUAGUUGCCAGGAAUGGAUAAGACAAGGAAAGUUCUUACCAACAGUUAUUUAUGUUUAUGGAAGCUUUUCACGUUUGAUGUUUUAUCGUGUUUUUAAUAUACUUUUGGGAGCCGCCCAGAGUAGCUGGGGAAACCCAGCCAGAUGGGUGGGGUAAAAUAAAAUAAAAAUAAUAAUUAUUAUUAUUUAAUAUUCACAGAGGAAGGUUUAGAUAUGCAGCUUCUUGGAAUAAUGGUGUUGCUCCAAGUCAAUCUCCACCCCACCCCCCUUUUCUCCCUCUUCCUUAUUCUUCACCAGCACCACCCACCUUACGGUUGCUGCUUAGGACCAUCUGUCUCUGAGUCCUUUGCUCUCCUGCUUUUAAGGCUUGCCAGGUUCUGGGAGAUGGUGGGUCUGGAAUGCUUUCUAGUAAUAACAUGUCAGCCAACUGCUCUGGCUCUGCCUGCUCCUCCUCUCCCAUUAUUUCCCAACUUUCCCCCUCAUCUUCCUAUGAGCUGUGACCUCCCUCAAACCCCUGUUGUAAUUCUGAACUGUCUUCUUCUUCUCUGGAAGGGUCAGGCUGGCGAGGUGGUCUCCACCAUUCUUCCUCUGCCCAGUCCCUGACAUCAGGGGAGAAUUGGUGAGUGCAGAGUGCUGAGAUGCGACUCUUACCUUCAUAGAAUAGACUACAUUCUAGCCACACAAAAGGUCAGAGAUUUUUAUGUCCUUAUGUAUCUUUUCCAUCAGGACAGGUAAAGAGAAUUAUUACCUGAUAUACCCCAGCAGAGCAAAAAACCCUUGAGGAACGUGGGGUGCAGGGCCAGUGACCCAUGCACACUGGGAGAAGAGGCAUGGUCUGGGAAGAAUUUCAGGGGCCAGAGACAAUACACUAUAGUAAGAUAAUUGUAUAACACUUGAUUAAAACAAACAAAAAACCCUGUGACACCUCCUUUUUUACUUUAUUUUGGCUUUGAUAAACCUACACAAACAUGCAACUGAAUCCAGUAAUUUUUUUAAAAGUCCAACGCCUAUUUAUAGAUGUAAAAGAAUAGAGAGUUAAGUGUUAUCCUAAUUUUGUUCCAGAAACUGUUGAUUUUAUCCAUAUUGCAAACCACCACAAUUUCUUACUGGCGAGAGAUCCUGGGGGACCUAGCUCUUAGCCAGGGUUGUUUCCUUGAAUUUUAUUGUAUACUUGUUUAUGUAAACUACUUAGUGGGUUUUUUUUAAAAGAAAUGAAACAGUAUAUAAAUCUUGCUAAUUGAAAAUAUAUAGAAUACAAAAGAUGCAAGAGCAUAAAAUAACACAUACGAUCAAAGAAAGUACAAACACCCUGAAGAAAUGGAAGCAAUGAGAAAGUCUUACCAGUUCAGCUUGGGAAGUGAUGAACAUGUUUGCAUUAACCAGCCAACAAAAUGAGUCUUUAAAAGGUCUAAUCUCUUUUUUAAAUUAUGCAGCAGCUACAUUAGCUCAUCCAUAUUAGAGUGUCAGCUUUCAUAUCCAAUAACAUCAUUUCAUCAUUAUUAAUUUGUUCUGUGUAUCUGAGAUAAGCAUGUUUGACAUUCUUUAAAUGUGUUCCUCUUUUUAGUGUUUACAUUUUGUUUUGAUAGGCAGAGAUUCGGCCCUCCCCCCCCAAAAAAAUGUAAUGAAUGUAACGAAGCAUAUGUAUUCAAAUGAAAGCAAAGUGAUUACUAGACCUGUUUUUAAAAAAUCAGAUAGAACUCUUUUCCAUCGCAUAACGGACAUCACUUUUUAUGCAUAGUAAUAACAUUCAAGUUCUGUGACAUAUAUUUGAAUUACUGCACUCUCAAAUAACUUUAAUGAGAUCCUGGGACUCUACUAAAAUAAAGAUAGUUUCCUUUGGAGUUACACAAAUUAGAGUAUUUUGAAGUUUAAGAUGGUAGAUAACAGUUAAAUAGGUAAUAUCUAAACACUGUCUUUGGACAUUAAUUAACCUCAGAACAAUUCUGGCUCUAUUUUUUUUUUAAUAAAAAAAUAUAUAUUCUAUUAUUAGAAAUGUUGAAUGUUGUAUAUCACUUUUUCUGUGAUAAGAACCCAAACUUGCAAUAACAACAUUAAAAUGACUUUAAAAAUGACUACACAAACAAACAUAUCAAACAAUCAGCACCACAAAACACACACCCCUCCCCAAUUUAUGUCCUUCAUUCUGGUCCUCAGAUAGUUAUAUAACAGUGCAGUCCUAUACAUGUUUUCACUUGUCAGCCAUGGCCAAAACUGGCCCUCCAGCUGUUGUGGGACUACAACUCCUAUCAUCCCUAGCUAACAGGACCAGUGGUCAGGGAUGAUGAGAACUGUAGUCCCAAAACAGCUGGAGGGCCAAGUUUGGCCAUGCCUGACUUAAGUAUUAUCUAUUGACUUCAAUGGGACUUGCAUCCAGGCAAGAUGUAGGGCACUCUCAUCAUCCCUGACCAUUAGUUAUGCUUGUUAGGGCUGAUGGGAGUUGUAGUUCCCCAGCCCUGGAGGUCCCCCAGCCCCGGUGUAUAGGGAUCCCAGCCUAAGGCACUUUAUUUAUUGCCCUGCAUUGAUAAAAUAACCGCCAUUAGCUGCUCACUUGAAAUCCAGGCUCAAUUCGCAAUCAUAUAUUGCUUUCCACAGUAUUUUUUCAGAUGGGUCACAUAUGUAUAUUUCUACCCAAGAUUUGCAAAGCUACAAAUGUUCAUAUGGGGGGGGGGGGGGUUUGCUGUUUAGUUGUUUAGUCAUGUCCAACUCUUCGUGACCCCAUGGACCAGAGCAUGCCAGGCACUCCUGUCUUCCUCUGCCUCUUGCAGUUUGGUCAAACUCUUCUUGGUAGCUUCGAGGAGGUGAUGGGCACAGUGGCCAUGAUCUUAGUUUUUUUGAGAUCCUUCAUGGAUCACUGCCUUGUCAUGGCGAUGGGGCUUGAACAACUCAGAGAAGCUAUGAGCUAUGCCAUGCAGGGCCACCCAAAUGGACAGGUCAUAGUGGAGAGUUUUGAGUAAACGUGAUACACCUGGAGCAGGAACCGGCAAGCCACUCCAGUAUCCCUGCCAAGAAGAAAGACAACAGGCAUAUAUUGGAGGGUGGGACCCCCCCAAAACUGUUCACCAAGGACUGAGCAUGCUCUUCAGGUUGGUAGGCUGUGUAUGUGAAAUGAGGGUGUGGCAGGUUGGAAAAGGAAUCAUGUAAAGGAACAUUCCAUACCGCAACAUUUUCCUUUUUUCUUUUUUGCAGGUCCCGCAUGUACUAGGAUCCUAAGCCAAGUCCUCAAUUUUAUUAAAGUGCUCUUUUUUUAAUGCAAGCUUGACUAACCAGGGUGUUUCCGCUUCUUGCUGUAGGUAAUUAUACUCAAAAUGUUCAAGUGUAUUUCUAUUUUUGUCAAAACGACAUGGUUUGCUAGAGGAGUCUUGCCCAUUAAAGUUACACCUGUCAUUCUAACCGCUCGCUGCCAAGGAAGAUUGACAAAAAAUACCCUCUACGGCCUGUCAGAAUGGAAAAAAAAGUGGGGAGGGUGAAAGUAAUGAAGCUAAUAUGGAAUAGUGAUUAAUCCUGCAUAUGGAGUCAACCAGUGGUGAAUAGGGAUUAGUCGGGAACACAUGGCAACAUAUUUGGAGUAUGAACCAGAGAGUAACACAUAUAUCAUCAUAAGCUCUUUCAUUUAAUGUUAUUUUUUCUGACAAAUAUGCAGAGGGGCUGUGGGGUUUUAUUCUCAGCAGGUGGGGGGAAGAAUAAACAGAAGUUCAUUCUCCUGUGUCAGAUAGCUGCAAGGAUGGAAUCGAGGUGUGUUGAUUCAGUGAGAUCCAUAGGUCUCUUUGGAGGGUUAUGGGCAUGUCUAGAAGCCAGCAACUAGGGCUCUGCUAUUUUGCUGGCUGGCUGGAUAUGAAAUGUAUUUAAGGCACUCUGGUCUCACCAACCUAGAACUAUAUGACAUAGCAGUGAGGGCAUUGACAGGGAAAACUCUCUAUUCACCUUCAAGGUGUGGCUCAGCCUACAACUUCCAGCAGAGUGGCUUGCCCGAGACAGUCCAGUUAGAUUUAGCCCGUGUAUAUUUCUGUGCCUCAUUUCUUUAUUACCUACUCCACCUGCAAAGUGGAGAAGACCACAGCAGAGAUUUAGAACUCUAGGUUACGCCUCUGAGCUAUGAUGUCAUCAUUGCGCACCAAAGUCUAAUAGGCUUCAUCUGGACCCCAGAUGGUGGUGAUGAUUAGUUUGAUUUGUUGGCUGUUUUCCUCGCAAAAGAGACCCAAAGCAACUUACAUUACAGCCAAUUUAAAAUAAGCGCAACCGAUAAAAGUCAAAAACCACAUCUAUACAGAUACAAAGUUGGCUCUUACAGAUCACAUGCCAUCAAAAGAGGCCGGAAAUCCUGCAAUUUAAGGCCCAAAACCCUGGCCAAAGAGGAAAAUAUUUGUCUAAAAAUAGAUAAAAGUGGGUACAUUGAUAAGGGGCCUCAGAUGAUGAUUGCAGAGUUCAGAUGGGUUUGUGUGAGGAUAAGCACUGGAACUGCAGGUAUUAGCAAAGCAGAUUGGUGGUGCUAAUAUUGGCACGUUUGAACCAUGACAUACUAUAGUUCAUUUUAAUGCAUUAUAAUUAAGCAUCUGCUAUCAUGCCUCGCCCUUUCUCUUUCUGUGUGUACUCUGUGCCGAAUCUGGUGGAUUUCCCCUUCUGUACAUUGCAGUAUUUAAUUCCACAUUAAAGACCUUCGUAGCUCAAAAGCCUAUGAAAAAGCCCUGUCAGUACAGAUAACUCUUGAGAUUAUUUGUUCCCUUAUAUCAUCGCCAAGACAUUUGGGAACUCUGCCACUAGUCUGCACGAAAGCAGCCUCUAACCCAUAUCGUGGGUUUUGUGGUUAGGGAGAGCAAAUUGCACAUAAUUACACUUUGGAAAUAAGCAGCUGUUGUUCAAUCUGUGAUUCCUCUGGUGUUUAGGCAUGUUUUGUGAUUCCGUGAUCUAGCGCCUCUUGCAAUCUCUCUCUCCCCCUUUAAAAACUGGACAGCAGUUGGAAAUCAUUGUGACUUAAUGAUAGAGUGCAGAGCAACAAUACACAAAGGGAAAUAUUGUUGAAGAAUGAUUUGAGUUUUUCCCGUUUUAAAAAAUGGGGAACAAAUGUAUGAUAGAACCUGUCGUCCAAAACAUGUGAAGGUACUCAAGUUGGAGAAGACUGGUGUUCAUGUCCACAGACCAAAUAGGGAAUCUACUUCUGAACAACCUCAAAAUGAGACUUAUUUUUGAAUAAUACAGUACUUCUGAACAGAGACAUGGGAGAUACCAAUGUACCACUUGUCAUUCAAACAACUUUACCGGAAUCCCUUUCCUACCUCCCUUUCUGAGAGACUCUAGAAGUUUCCCACUGAAUUCUGCCUGCCAAACGCUGAACAACUUUGCUUGUUUUUAUAUGCUGGCGCUUACGUCAGAAAUUUAAUUUGAAUUUGAGUGCCACAACGUUUUUAUAGCCCAUCAGAUCACCUUUUAUGCACUCUUAGGGUAAAUCAAUAAUUCCAUCACUUUUUUAUUUUUAAGAACAGCAUUUUAUGGACUUUAUGAAUUAUCUCUCAAUGAGCCACUAAAGCAGAAAUAUUAUAGGACAAUUAGAGCAAAAUGUGAGCAAUGACAAAUUAGAUGCAUUUGCAUGGCCCAUUAACUAGCAGCAACAAUCAUGUUAGGAUGACAGCUUCUGGGAUUCUCUAUUUAAUCUUCUCAUCAUUGGAGACAAUUAUUGGUACAUAUACACAGUGUAUGUAAAAGUGGUAAAAAUAAUAAAGCGUAUGCCAUUUCUGCACCUCACUUUAUGGCAACAGACGCAGUGAACUGGCAAUAUUAAAAGGAAUGGCCAAAAUUAAGGAGACUUAGUAAAAUACAGGAGAUCGUAUGGUAGGAUAUUUAAGCCAGACUGCCAUCUAGUGAAACUCUUUGGUGUACAGAAAUAGCCAGCACAUCCAGAAAGAAACAUUCUGCUUUAAAGAUUAAGAGUCUUCAAAAGUUUGUGGGACUGCAAUAAUUACAGUCCAGAAAAAAACAAAAUCCUGCUCACAACUAGGUCUCAUUGAAAUGAAAGGGAUUCAACAGCAUCAUCUUAUGUUAGGCUACGCAAGUCCCAUUGAGUUCAGGGACAUACUCCCAAGUAAGUGUGCAUAACAGCAUCACCCAAACUAUUGCCUGUCUGGCAUUUUGGACUACAGUCCCCAUCAUCCUUUAACAUAUAAUUCAUCUAAUUGACCCUGAAAUGAAAAUGCCUGUAUAUUAAUGAAGGUUAAAAAUGGAAAAAUAGAUAAACUGGGGAUUUUCCAAUGUUGUCGGGGUUUUUCCAAUGUUGUUUUCUAAAGGACUCUAAUCUCCUUAAUGGGUUCUAACUGUUGAUUGUUUUCUUCUCUGUGCUGAGAGGUGGUGAAGGUAUUGAGUUGCAAAUCUCCAUUUUGAAAGGGAGUUGCCUUUAGACUUUUGUCUCCCAAACUCUAUGGAGUGAUGAUGUAAAUGAAGCUCUUCUGAAGGGAGAGUCAACAGCCUAAGGCCAAUGAAGACUGGAAAGCAGGCUGUGGGGAGAGACAGACCUUUGCUUCUAGGUCUGUUUGGAUUCUUUCAUAUUUUCUAAGAUGCUGAGCCUGUGCUGGACAGCACAAGACCUUGUAUGGAUAUUUUGGGUGUAUCUUUAAUGCUUCUGUUUCAUUUUAAAGAGUUCUGCCAGUAAAAGUUUGAAUAAUAUUUUAAUGGGCCUGGACAAUGAUUUCUUCCAAAAACAGUCAGUUCCUAUGCUUCCUGUCACUUCAAGAGAGCCAAUGUGGUGUAGUGGUUAAGAGCGGUAGACUCGUAAUCUGGGGAACCAGGUUCGCGUCUCAGCUCCUCAACAUGCAGCUGCUGGGUGACCUUGGGCUAGUCACACUUCUUUGAAGUCUCUCAACUCCACUCACCUAACAGAGUGUUUGUUGUGGGGGAGGAAGGGAAAGGAGAAUGUUAGCCGCUUUGAGACUCCUUCGGGUAGUGAUAAAGCGGGAUAUCAAAUCCAAACUACUACUACUACUACUAUUCUUCUUCUUCUUCUUCUUCUUCUUCUUCUUCUUCUUCUUCUUCUUCUUCUUCUUCCUAACUGUGCAAUAUUAAUAUCUGCAACAUGCCCAUGAUGGCUGGGACUGUCAUCCAGGAAGGCACCGGUUUUUGGAAGGCUGGUUUAUAGAUUUGCAUGGUGCCUAAGUUAGUCACCAUAGCUUUCAAUGGGAACUGGUUAUGACUUUUGAUGAAUUGUCCCCUAUUUUGUAAUGUGCAAGCCAGCACAACUUGUAGCCCAGUAAGUCAAACCUGGUUCAGUACGACAGUCUAUUGGGGACUAAAUAAAAAAAACUAAAGUAGGUUUCAGCACCAGGUGGCACUGGUCCUCCUGAUGUUGUUGGACUCCCAUCAGCCCCAGACAACAUGAUCAGUAGUAUCUGGAGGACCGCAGUUUCACCACCCCUGGAUGAGUGGACUAUUGACACUAUUCAGAGGUAUUCCAGACAGCAACUUUGCCUUGAUGUAGCAUGAGAACAAGCAUGUUUUGUGACACAUAACCUACACACACACCUGAAGGGGAGUUUGCAAAACCAGCAUUCAUGUAAAACAACUCUGUGACUAUAAGAUGGUCUCUGAAACUCUGCUUAAACUCACUUUUGUCCUCUAUCUAAAAAUAAAGCAAUCAAUACUUCUUUUUUGGCAAGGCAUUUCUGGCAUUCACAAAGCUGUCAUUCCUCACAAAAUGAGGAUUGUGAAUAUAUCUCACAAAGCGAACAUCUCAAAAUAAACUGCAGAUAAGUUCCAACUAAUAAAGCAUUUUUCACCAGACAGGUUUUUUUGUUUUGUUUUGUUUAAUAAAGAAAGAUGCAAUAACCAUUAAGUAGAUGAUGACAAGUUAAGCGUAAGUUCUUUUCCAUCUCAUUUUUAAGAGGCACGGCAUAAGCUUUCUUGCGUGUCAAGACCCCGAGGUUUCCCCCUUAUGUUGAAUAAUCACACGUGGACACCAAAUAUUAGGUUAAUGGGCAAAAUUUAGGUCACAACUUUAUUGGUUACAGAAUGUGAGAGGUAUUGGCUUAGGCACUGGAAUUGACCUGACUAUAUCUGACUCCCACCCUCCUGCAGGAAGUCUCACAAGGGUUAACCACCUGUAGGGGGAGCCCUGCUGAUGUACAGCAACUCGGACCUCCCCCAGGGUCACCGGAAGGUCGUGCAAAGGCCCUAGCCACCACCCAGGCUUCAGACAGGAACCACGACCCCCAGAUUCCUUUAACAGAAUACCCUUUAAAAUGGAGAGGCAGGUGAUAGCCACACCUCCCCUCGCCCAAACCAGAUUUUACCAAUGCCUAACCACCAAACCUUACAAAAGUUGUGACGAUAGCUACGAGGUAGGUGGAAACCAAAUGACCAGUGCCAAUUUGCCAAGUGGAAAAAUUCCUACCAGGCCCCUCAAUGGUGAGGUCCAUAGCAAGGCCAAUAUGACAAUGCAUGAAAAAGAGGGUGGGAGAUCCACGGAAGCCUGAACAAUAAAGGAGAUUCCCACCCCCCAGCCGUGCGGCUGUUUAAAAAGGGGUAAGCCACGCCCCCGACCAACCGGAUUGGCUGGUCGGGGCCAUGAUGUGGCCAGGGACUCCCUGAUGACAUGGGGGCUUAGCCCCGCCCCAGCUGUGUGCGGAGGCCAAGUGGCCUGACCGCAACACCGCCCCACCUGGAAGUGGAGCAGCCUUAUUAGGAGAAAAGGUGAAAGUUGCCUGUCCCCCUUCCAUCAGUGAGAGUGUAACAUAAACAUAAACUCCAUUCACAGGAUGCCCCACAAGCAGGCACAGAAUUGGGAUCUAGGCCAUAUCAGCAGAAAUCUCACAGACACCUUUCCUAAAGCAACUUUCCACACAAAGACUUUUCAAGGAAAUAUAAAAGAAUUAACAAGGAGUCUGGAUAAAUUACUCAGGGGGUUUCAUGCACACAUCCCCGUGCUGUCGUCAGGUUUUAUCCAGAGCAAAACUCAAGGCAAAUUAGGAGCUUCCUUGUCAGGGGGGAGAAAAAAACCCACGAAACAAUUUUGGGAGAACAGCCCAAAGAAUUACAGUAAGAUUACAGAACUUUCUGGCGAUAGGAUAAUAUGUCUCUCUUACUCAUAAAUUCAUUUGAAAAUACUUUGGGCGAAAUUAUUUUUCUGACAUAGAGGUAAUAGAUCUUUAUAUGCAGCAAAUAACUGCCAUAUUUUUCGCUCUAUAAGACACACCAGACCACAAGAUGCACCUAGUUUUUGGAGGAGGAAAACAAGAAAAAAAAAUAUUCUGAAUCUCAGAAGCCAGAACAGCAAGAGGGAUCACUAUGCAGUGAAAGCAGCAAUCCCUCUUGCUGUUCUGGCUUCUGGGAUAGCUGUGCAGCCUGCAUUCGCUCCAUAAGACGCACGCACAUUUCCCCUUACUUUUUAGGAGGGAAAAAGUGAGUCUUAUAGAGCAAAAAAUAUGGUAAAUGCUAACACUGUCCCCAUCCAGCCAUGAAACACACAUGGAUGGCUGUAGGCGAGUAAUUCACUCUCUCAGUCUAACCUACAUCCCAGGUGGUUGAUGUAUGGACAUACUGGCGAAGGGAGCAUGUUUGUUUUCCUGAGCUCCUUGGAAGAAAGAUGGACUACAAAUGCAAUAAAUAAGUAAAUAAGUGUGUGUGUGUGUGUGUGUGUGUGUGUGUGUGUGUGUAAAAAACUCCCUUCAGCUAAAUAGCUCCCAGGGCAGUGCACAAUAAAAUACUCUAGAUGAGGGAUGGAGAACCUAUAGCCUUCCAGAUGUUGCUGAACUACAGCUCAGAUCAUCCCUGUCCAUUGACCAUGCUAGCUGGGGCUGAUGCUGAUGGAAGGCCACAAGGUCCUCACCACUCCUAUAAGCAAAUGAAUAGACUUCAAAAUCUCUCCUAAAAACAAGCAUCACUCGGGUUUUAUCCCUUUCAUUCUCAAUGGCUUAACUUGGAGUCUCUAUUUCUAUGUCCAAGCACGAUCCAAGAUGGGAUGACAAUUUUCUACUCAUGUGACCAAUCUGUAGAAGAAGUGGCAAUACGAACCAGAUUUCCUGGCUCCCCGUCUCGUAUUUAUAAUUAUCUAUUUUGACAGUGACUGUAACUUCGUGCUCAGUCGGUUUUCAAAACAGGAUAAUUGCAACACUGAAACAUUACUCUUUUUUUUUUUUUUUUUUUGAAGCCCAAAGCAUUUGCUGUAGUUGCUCAUGCUUGUAAUGUACUUGUUAAGCUAUGUGGAAAGAAAAAUACUUCUUAGCACUGUUAGUUCCCACCCACCUACCAGAAAUAUCAAUGAUAUUGAUGAGCCAUUAAUUUCUCAAUAAAAUUGGUGCAAGGAGACAAUAUGAAGUUGUAUAUACUUGGCUCAUAUUUGCUGUUUUGUCUUGCCCUUUUCACCAUAUGGACAUUGCAAGACACCUCUGCUUCAUCAGUGCUUUGUUCUUUGCAAAUGUAAUGGCCCAUCACUCAGCCUUUAUCUAUGAUACAAUUGUAAGGUGGCCAAAAUGCAGAAAGCCUUGCUGACGUUUGUCACAGAACUCCAUAUGGCGGCUUAGCCGCUAGGUCCUUUAAUCGUGUCUGAUGGUGUUGCCUUCAAAGAAAGCUGAGCAAAGCUAAACAGGAGGCUUGUUUUCUUAUCCCGCAUGUUUGAUAACAAAGGAUCCAUCUCACUGCAGGAUAGGAUGUCGGCUGCUCACAGAGAAACCAACACCGCUGAAGGACAAAUGCAUUGUAUGCUCUGGUCCAAGCAAAUAAGAAUGGCAGAGGGGCCCAGUGAUAAGAUCUGAGGUUGAGGUUCACCUAGAAUAAUUACCAAGGCUAUCCAAUAUUUAAACAUACUCUGUUGAUUUGUCAGGCCCUCGUGACAUGUGGCAAGCUGUUAUUGAGACAAAGGAGUUCAAAAGAAACACAUACAGCACAGGAGUCGGCUAUUCAAUGAGUUGGGAGAGGGAAAUCUCACCGAGCUAGCAAAAGUGCCUUGGGUGAGUUUUUUUCCAUCCUGGCCAGUAUAUUGCCUCAGGAUUCUUCCCACAACAAACCAACCCACAGGUUGCUCCUCAGAUUGAAGGUGUCUGGCCCACAUAUGUGACGUGUAACGUCAUGCACAUCUCCUGACAUCAUGCAGGCUGGUGCAGCCUUCCACCAGGCCAUGCCAGUCCCUGCAGUGUUGGGAGACAUGGCACAGGCCAAUGCAAUCUUGUGCAAGGCAUGCUAGUCCCCACGGUGUCUUCCAACACCCCACAGGCUGGUGCAGCCUUCCUUUAGCUGUGGGAAGGUCUGGCGGGGCCAGCCACUUCUGCAGGUAGGUCCAGCAGGGCCCACUACAAGCCACAGGAAGGCCUAACCAUAGACUGUGGAAUAUUGAGGGGGGCCACCACCCUCCUUGAAUUUUUUGGGGGGAUCCUUGGCCCCACCAAGAUGGCCACCCUGAGCCACCCUACUUUUCCCAGACCACAUGCCUCACUGGCCUUGCUGUGCACCUUCUUUAAGUGUCUGAAAUAAAUCCUUAAGCUCUGAUAAUGCCUUUUGCUUGCUUGAAUAGAGGAUCAGGGGGUGUAGAAAUCAGCCCAUUGUAGAAAGGUGCUUUCAUUCUUCCACCCCACUUUUGCCUCUGACCCCACACAGCAACUGCACGUGGUCCCCAGAAUGUGUCCCAGGAAGAAAUGCUGGAAAAGGUCCCCCACAAAGGUCCCCCCCCCCCGCAUCAGACAUGACUAAAAGUCUUGGUAACCUUACGAGGAACAUUCUUCAUAAGAAUUCCAUAUCCGCUUCUUCAUCACCUCUUUUACUAAUUUCAAUAUAAUUGCCUGGUUUAUGACUUCUUGAAUACUGCACCUCAAGGAAUAAGCAGAGGUCUGGCCAUGCCUUUUCUUGUACUUCUUGCUUGAGAGCAUAAGAAAUACUUAAGAGUGGUUAGCAAUUAUGUUUCCCAUCAGAUUUCUACAGAUCAUUAAACCUGGGAUUUUGUAGGGCAAAAUAAUUAGUGCAAGGAAGAAAGCAAGGAUAACCUGUUCUUUUUUUUCUUUUUUUCACAAAGAGAGAAGGUGGAUGUGGUUGCAUGACGAAUGGCUCCCCCACAGUUGAAUAACCUACUGGAAGGGGAAGAACCCCAUAACUUACUAAGCAACUAUUAAAAGUUGGCAUAAGUUACUCCUAUUCCAAACGCCACUCAGGAAGACUGUGACAUACAGCAUUCUUCUUGCCAGUUAAGUUCUGCUGCGUUGCUAGGUCAUAUGACAGAACUGAAAAGGGUUUGGAAUAGGUUUAAAUCUCUGCUUACCCUGCCCUGUUUCCCACAACAUCCCAGUAAUUAUUAAGUAGAGGGCAAAAAUCACCGAAAUAGUUUCAUUGUGGAAUAGGACUCAGUUGGCAUUUAUGUUGCUAUGUUGUUGACUGUGUGGGUAAGCUAAAUAUUGAGCUGUUUCCAUUCUGCUGCAGUUUGGUUUCUGCCAAAUACUAGGUCAUUCAUCUCGCUGUCUGCUAUUUAACACAAUUUAUGUAAUUAUUUACAUAAUUUAUCUGAAUGGUAACUUUGACACAAUCAAUGAUGUCAUUAUUUCCACACGAUUAAUUUCAACGUGAAGGAAAUAUCAAUGUUAAAAAGUCAUUAAUUAAGUAUUGCAUGGGGGCUUCAAAAAAAAGGAACAAACCCAACGAUGUCAUGAGGAAAUACUGAUCAUAUUUGCUGAAUUGACUUUUGCACCAGACCUUUGGUGAAAACAGCAGCAAUUUCAUUGAAAUUCUUCAGCAUUCACACUAAUUCAUUUUGAGGAAGCUGUAGUGACAAAACAAACAAACAAACAACAACACACCAAUUAAACUUGGGUUGAUGAAGAGCUAGCUUCAAAGAAGAGAGCAUUGGGAAUAAUGCAACAAAACAAGGCCAUUGUUGGCACCCAAAAGUUCAGAUCCCCACUUUCUCCUACAUCUAUAACUUUGGCACACAUUCAUACUCCCUGACCACUCAGACUGUUUGUGAAUAUUUUAUGACAUUGCAACAGAUCACAGCUGCCUGAUGGUUUUUAAUUUACUGUAUAUGAAAAGCAUUCUCAAGGAGCUACAUGAAAGGUACUUAAAUAAAUUGAAUCAGCUGAACCCUGCAGACCUUUUCUGUAUUAUCCAGAAGAAGCAAAGCACUGAGCUAAAAGCAUUCAGCAUGCAGGCCUCUUAAGAUUGUUUUAAAUAUAUAACUAAUUACACAUGAAUUUCCACAAUUAUCGAAGCAGAAUAAAUAUUUGCUGAUUUUCCUUGAGGAAAUGGAUGCUUUUUAAAAAUAAAAUAAAAUGCAAAGCAGGCCGAGAGGUUUGAUUAACCUAUUAAACUAAUCCAGAAGACUCAAAAGCCAGCACUACAACAAAUGCAUUAAACAUUAGUGUGUGGUAGACUUGCAAAACGUGCUUUUAGGUUCAUUUUCAAGCAGCUUUCAAAGGUAAUCCUGAUGCCUACAGUGCCAGAAGCGUUCUCUCAAGCAUGCUAUAAUAUAGAUUGUACCCACUUAACCUACAGACUAUAAAUGUCAACGGAAAACAUUUACUAAAGAUCUGUUACCCAUUCGGUAUCCAUUUGCUUGUGAUGACGCUCUAGACUCAGAGGUGUCUCCAUUCUUGUUUAAAACAUGUAACCGACGAUUUUCCUUUCAAAAGAAACAUUGUGAUGCUUGUGGAAAGCUUUCAGUUCUUCCUCCUACCCUAAGAUAUAUAUUAGGGCUUUUAAAGAGGUAAAUUGAGACAACAUUCCUACCUGCUGGAGGAAUCGGAAAUGCUCCUUGCAGGAGGGGAAACUUUCUGCGUGUUCAGACCCUUAAACCUCCCCCUUAAAUAAAUUCAGACAAGACUCAAAUUUUGCUCUGGUUUUUGGCAGAAUUUAGGCCACAACUUUAUUGAUUACAGAAAGUGACUGGUUGCAUAGGCUCUGGUUCGACUAGCUCCCUGCACCGUUGCAGGUAGCGCUGACCCAGGGCAACAGCAUAGGUCAGCCUAGGGUGAACAUCCGGAUAGGCGGAAAGCCAGGAACAGGCUAUGUCCACCAUCCAGAUGUCCCCCUGGACUCAGGCACGGGCACAACCUCCUCACAGGGUUGACCAAACCAUUGAGUCCCUGGAUUCCUUUAACAGAAUACCCUUCACAUAGGGAUGGCGAGAGCGUUCCCCCAUCCCUAUCUCCUGAACCAGAGCCUAUCCACAACCUUACAAGUUGUGAUGAUUUGCUAUGCAGAAGGCGAAACCCAAAUGGCACCAGCCAAUCAGUCAAGUGGGGAAAAUUCCUGCUGUGCCCCUGUCCCAAUGACAGACGACACAUGAUGGCAUAGCAAAGUCAAGUGUUCAGCCCUAAAGGUAGGGAGAGGUGGGCAGGUGUUCCGAUGCACGCGCUGAAAGAGGAAGCUCUGGGUCACGUGCAUAGGUAUAUAUAGGUCCCUUGAUCUGUUAUCCUGCGUCCCAUUGGCCUGAUUAAACCGUGCUUCAAGGGACCUACCAAUUGGGUGUUGUGGCUAUCCAAUCAUACCCACCCACAACACAGGGUUUGGUUGCCAGGUCUCUUUGAGGGAGGACCCAAUUAAUGUAGAUUCGGUCAAAAUUUGGUUGUUGAAUGUAAUCUGUUCCAGAAGCCCGUUUGGAUUCCGAAAUGUUUGACAAUUGAGGCGUGGCUUCCAAUUGGUUGCAGGACCUUCCUGCACUCAAGACGUCAGACAUUCAGCUUCCGAAAAACUUUCAAAAACCGGAGCAUUUACUUCUAGGUUUUCGGAAUUUGGGAGCCAAAACGUUCCAAAACGGAGGCAUUAGGGAUCCGAGGUUAGACUGGAAAUCCCUUUCUGUCUGUAAGGAUGCAGAAGGCCACAUGUGAAAGCCGGCCUCAAUUUGCUGCCCUCUCGCUCGUGUUUUGAGAGGGAUCAGACUUUGCUCUCUGAAGGCAGGAGAUUUCAGGGGAAGCAGAUUCCAUCUACAUGCUGGAGAAACGUGACAUAAGGUGCUUUAUAUGUCGGCCCAAUGAAUCUGCCUUGUCUGCUGUGACUGACAGCAGCUCUCCAGGGUUUCAGAAAGAUUUUUUUUUUCCUGGGUGCCCCUUAUUAACCAAGGCCUCUCUGAUAUUUUGGUUUGUGGGAUUCUUGCAAGGAGCAGAACUUGCAUCUCACAAGCCUCAAUGCAGCUACCACCCUCCAAACCCGCCAAAGGCCUUAUGGAUGGGGUCCCUGAUUAAGCCACAGUCAGAGGGAUGGCUAACACUGGUUCUGUUGAUUUCGAUAUUGCACUCAGUGGGUUCUACUCUGUAUAUUUAAUUACAUAUUUAAAUGCAUUUUUUCAGAUGUAACAGUAAGCAGAAAACAACUGGUGCCUCCAUGCCUAGUGCAAAAGGAGACUCGCUUUAUGGAAAUGGGGAACAUUUUUUUACAAUGUAACAACUGUGGAUAGGCCUUUAAAAAAAGAAGAAAAAGCCAAAGGCAGUUUCAUACUGUGCUUAAUUUUUCUUCAAUAUUUUGUUUUUGCAAGAAUUGGCUCACUCAUUCUCCUAUACUCCCUCCCCCCCCUUAGCAUUCUCAUAACCCUGGCAUGGAAUCCUCUUUCCUCUAGUGACAUUUCAUAUCUUAUUGUGUGUGUGUUUUGCAUUCAAUUAACUUCAACAUGCUUUUGCACUGCAGUGUGUGUGUGUUUUAAAAAAACCCUUGACAUGCAUUAUUAAUGUUACCUCAUCAAAGGCUCCUAGAGAGAUCUUUUUAUUUUUAAAGAAUAAGCAAUAGUUAUUGCAAUUUAAAUUGAGAUAGAAUGGACUGCGGGGGGGAGGGGGGAGGAGAGAGAGAUGAUUGCAAAGAAAUCCAGAGGCUAACUGCGUCAGGAAACAAAAGGCAAUUGUUCAUGGCAACUAAGAAUUCUGAAAUUCAAUUCUUUUCAUGGUGGGAAUCCAUGGUUUAAUUAAUGGCUACCAGUUAUCAUCUGCAAAGAGACAGGAUGGAUAAGCAUUUCAGGUAGUAGUUUCAAGACAAUGGCCUAUUCGUUUUCCUGCCCUGCUGUUCAGAAGCAAUGCUGAGCAGGUUAUUCAUGUGUACAAUCAUUAUAUAUGAAAAAACCACCAAUAUUUCUGUUUCAUCCUGCUGAGCAGGUUAUUCAUGUGUACAAUCAUUACACAUGGAACAACCACCAGUAUUUCUGUUUCAUCCAGAAAUGCCUGCCAUAGAUAAACAAAUCUCAGCCAAACAACCAUUUUGGUCAGAUGUGGUAUGUCUGAAAGGAAUAUAGGGUGAGAGAGAUUUUGAAAUCUCUUUAGAGCAGUUCAAUGAGUUGUUUAUGUUCAUGUAAAGCGUGUUCUCCUUCAUGGAGAGCACGUGUUGUGGUGGGGUCUGCUGAGCCACCCCUCUGUUACCAGGCAGGGUCUCUAAAGAUGGCCUGGGGCAGUGAUUGGUUCUUUGGGUUGCUGGGGUAAAAGUUAUGUUGCAAUUUUGGUGGGAGGGGUAAAAUGUUUAAAUACUCUGCACGCAGCCUGGAGCUUUCUCUUUGCUGCGUGCAACGGAUCACCCGCCCACCCGCCCUUGAGUAAGGGGUUGUUGCAUUGACCUUGCUAUGCCUGUCAUGGGGUCGUCUGCCGUUGGGGCAGGGACCUGGUAGGAAUUUUGUCCAUCUGGCUGAUUGGCUGGGCCAUUUGGUUUUUGCCUACUGCGUAGCAAAUCGUCACAACUUGUAAGGUUGUGGUUAGGCAUUGGUUAUAAAUUGGUGGAGGAGGGGUUAGGAUAGGCUGGGCCUGCCCCUCCAUGGUUGCUGCGGAAAGGGAAUUCCGUUAAAGGAAUCCUGGGGCUUGCCAUCUUUUCGUCCAAUCCAUGGAAUGGGACUAGGGCCGGCAAGCCUUCGGGGAGCAUGCGGAUGAGAAUUGAGGGUCUGUGACUCAGCUCCAUUUCUCCCCGACUUGCUUUCCCCCGCACUGUCUUUCGGUGGUGCCCGGAAGUCAGUUCUGUCCCCAGGCGGGGGGACAGAUAGUCUUAACCAAUGCCUAAACAACCACUCACGGUUUUGUAUUUAAAUAAAGUUGUGGCCAAAAUUAUGCCAAAAACCUCAAACAAAAAUUAAGUGUGUGUUGUGAGUUAUUUGGGGGGUGGCUUGGGGACAUUGACACGCAACUGAUGGCUAACAUGUGUAACCAAGUAUGCACACCUCAAGAAUGUGCACAUCAGCUGAGCAUGAAGAGAGAAUUGUGUCCAUUUCUCAGUCAGUAGUGGUUUUAGUUUCUUCACAAACUAAUUGUUGUGUGGAGAAUAGGGCAAGGGGAGAGGUUGCUCAAAGCUGUGGCAGGAAAUGAAAUGAUUUAACCAUUGCAGUCAAGGACCCCACACACUUCACAUUAAAACCUCAGACAGACCUGCAUGUACAUAGCGCGCAGCUUGACCCUUACAUGUUAAGACAGGUGUGUGGAAAGACUUGCAAGAGUUGUUGCAAGUAGCCAAAGAGGCCAUGGCAGCUUGAAACAAGAUUAGUCAUCACCCUUGUCGGUCACCAAUAUUAGCAGGCUGCUUAAUUUCAAUUCCAAUCUAUCACCCCGCUGUCUUCAUCAGCAGACUAGCAUUCGAGCAGGAAAAGUGCAUGAAAAUGGCAACAGGGAUGGCUAAGCACCAAUCUCAUGGACUUGAAUUCAGCAAGAAAAGAGAUGUUGUUGUUUAGUCGUAUAGUCAUGUCCGACACUUUGUGACCCCAUGGACCAGAGCACGCCAGGCACUCCUGUCUUCUACUGCCUCCCGCAAUUUGGUCAAACUCAUGUUAGUAGCUUCGAGAACACUGUCCAACCAUCUCGUCCUCUGUCGUCCCCUUCUCCUUGUGCCCUCCAUCUUUCCCAACAUCAGGGUCUUUUCCAGGAGUCUUCUCUUCUCAUGAGGUGGCCAAAGUAUUGGAGCCUCAGCUUCACGAUCUGUCCUUCCAGUGAGCACUCAGGGCUGAUUUCCUUAAGAAUGGAUACGUUUGAUCUUCUUGCAGUCCAUGGGACUCUCAAGAGUCUCCUCCAGCACCAUAAUUCAAAAGCAUCAAUUCUUCAGCGAUCAGCCUUCUUUAUG